CCUCGCCCUUCCAGCCCGCUCGAGGGUGGUCGCCAGGGCGCGAUAAAGGAAUGUGAGAAAGUGCUUAGCGCUCCAGCCGCUCCGAGGGAAGCCAGCUUGUUCUAAAGACGAAGGGGAACUCCCUAGUGCUACAGGCUGUUUCAGGAGGCCGAUUAAUUUUGUACACGUAAUACUUAAUUACCUUCUAAUAAUUGGAGCA
rnacentral:sRNA from 1 species